rnacentral:rRNA from 1 species
UACGGGGGGGUAAGCGUUGUUCGGAAUUACUGGGCGUAAAGGGCUCGUAGGCGGCCAACUAAGUCGGACGUGAAAUCCCUCAGCUUAACUGGGGAACUGCGUCCGAUACUGGAUGGCUUGGAUUUGGGAGAGGGAUGCGGAAUUCCAGGUGUAGCGGUGAAAUGCGUAGAUAUCUGGAGGAACACCGGUGGCGAAGGCGGCAUCCUGGACCAAUAUUGACGCUGAGGAGCGAAAGCCAGGGGAGCAAACGGGG